CUGAUGAACGGUUUAGCCCAGUGAC
rnacentral:piRNA from 1 species